GAAGAAUUCAUUAACAAAAUUUUGCAAAAGGUGCGCUCUGUUGGGGCAGGCGCAGAGGUCCCUACUUCCUUAACCGUGCUGUAAGCUUCCUGUCCUUUAUAAACAGUAAGGAAUUGGUGUGAGGUGACGUUUCUGUGGACAAGUCCCCUGAUCAUCUGACCCAGUGAACAUGUGUGUUCAGAAGUGGAAGAUAAGGAUCAUGGUGUUUAUACAACAUGCCAAUUCAUCCCUGAGAAGCCCAUCAUGUGUGUUCAUGAAAAAAAUGCACAAAAUCCUGACUGGCCGGAAUAAUUCAUGAAGAAAGGGCUGGAUCCGUGGGUCAGAGCACACAGGACCAGGUUGCCAUCCCAAGGCCGAAGUCUGGUGACUCGGAUUUGGCCCUGCGUUGCCCACUCCUGCUGCAUCUUACCCAGUCGAAGGAUGAAAGGUCUUGGCACCUUCCUGAAGCGUGGGAAGAAAGGAGGUUCUGAAAGCACAGAUCCAAGACCACCAGAGGCCGGGGACACUGACACCUGGAGGGGCCACUCACACACCGCCAGGAGCCAAGGAGAGCUGGACAGGAGGAACACGGGCCCAACAAGGGUGGAAAUACCAGCAGUCCCCAAAGCCAUCUACAUCAGUGCCCAGGCAGCCCAUGCAGGACCCACUGAGUGGAAGACAACAUGGUAG
rnacentral:lncRNA from 1 species